UCCCCGUUAUCCUGGGCAGUCCCUCCAGAGUUCCCGGCAUGACCCGUUGGCAACUGGAGGCAAGGGUUGCGCUCGUUGCGGCACUUAAGCCAACACCUCACGACACGAGCUGACGACAGCCAUGCAGCACCUGUGCACGGACUCCGAAGAGGAACCGAUGUUUCCACCGGCUUUCCCGUGCAUGUCAAGCCUAGGUAAGGUUCUUCGCGUUGUAUCGAAUUAAGCCACAUGCUCCGCCGCUUGUGCGGGCCCCCGUCAAUUCCUUUGAGUUUUAGCCUUGCGGCCGUACUCCCCAGGCGGAGUGCUUAAUGCGUUAGCUGCGGCACAGAGAGGGUUGAAGACCUCCCCACACCUAGCACUCAACGUUUACGGCUGGGACUAC
rnacentral:misc_RNA from 1 species